rnacentral:rRNA from 1 species
GAAGGAUCAUUACUGAAAAAGGUGCGGUCAUUUUAAAGUUUUUUAUAUCCCAUUGUUUACUUACCCUGUUGCUUUCACUGGACAGAUUUCACCUUGUGUGGGUCCUUUGGCUUGUGUGAAAUACCACUUGCCAAAGAGUUGCCAUUGGUAAGACCUAUUUAUCAAAACUUGAGUUUCAAUAAACACAACUGUCUGAAUAUUUUUUUUCUUUAAUGAAAUAAAACUUUCAACAACGGAUCUCUAGGCUCUUGCAUCGAUGAAGAACGCAGUGAAAUGCGAUAAGUAAUGUGAAUUGCAGAAUCUCGUGAAUCAUUGAAUCUUUGAACGCACAUUGCGCCCUAUGGUAUUCCAUUGGGCAUGCCUGUCUGAGCGUCAGCUCCCCCUCCACUCAAGAAUCAUUUUAUAUGAUACUUGGAUUACUUUGGAGAUGUAACUGUAUAUUAAGUUGCCCUCCAGAAAUUUAUUGGCAGUAUGGUUUGUACUUGGACCAGACGUAAUAGUAAUAAAAUUGUUUGCUUUGGGUAUAAUUGAUUGUACUUGCCUUAACCCCCACCCAUUUUUAUUUUGGGUGACCUCAGAUCAUGUCGGAAGAUAGCCCGCUGAACUUAAGCAUAUCA